GUGGAUUAGAUACCCUGGUAGUCCACGCCUUAAACGAUGAAUACUAGACGUUGGGGUUAAACUCAGUGUCGCAGCUAACGCAUUAAGUAUUCCACCUGGGGAGUACGAUCGCAAGGUUGAAACUCAAAGGAAUUGACGGGGGCCCGCACAAGCAGUGGAGCAUGUGGUUCAAUUCGAUGCAACGCGAAGAACCUUACCUGGGCUUGACAUGAUAGCUAAAGCCGGUGAAAGCCGGUGUCCCGCAAGGGGAGCUAUUACAGAUGCUGCAUGGCCGUCGCCAGCU
rnacentral:rRNA from 1 species